ensembl:snRNA U1 U1 spliceosomal RNA
AUACUUACCUGGCAGGGGAGAUACCAUGAUCAUGAAGGUGGUUUUCCCAGGGCGAGGCUUAUCCAUUGCACUCCGGAUGUGCUGACCCCUGCGAUUUCCCCAAAUGCGGGAAACUCGACUGCAUAAUUUGUGGUAGUGGGGGACUGCGUUCGCGCUCUCCCCUG